rnacentral:rRNA from 1 species
CAUUACUGAGUUGUCGACACGAGUUGUUGCUGGUCCCCGAACAGGGGCAUGUGCACGCUCUGUUCACACAUCCACUCACACCUGCGCACCCUCCGUAGUUCUAUGGUCUGGGGGACAUGCCGUCUUCCUCCUGUAGUUCUACGUCUUUACACAUACACCGUAGUGAAGUCUUAUGGAAUGUUUGCAGCGUUUAACGCAAUACAAUACAACUUUCAGCAACGGAUCUCUUGGCUCUCGCAUCGAUGAAGAACGCAGCGAAAUGCGAUAAGUAAUGUGAAUUGCAGAAUUCAGUGAAUCAUCGAAUCUUUGAACGCACCUUGCGCCCCUUGGCUAUUCCGAGGGGCAUGCCUGUUUGAGUAUCAUGAACACCUCAACUCUCACGGUUUGCCGUGAUGAGCUUGGACUUGGGGGUUUUGCUGGCGUGCAGCCGGCUCCUCUCAAAUGAAUCAGCUUGCCAGUGUUUGGUGGCAUCAUGGGUGUGAUAACUAUCUACGCUUGUGGUCGUCUGCCAGGUAACCUUCAGCGAUGGAGGUUCGCUGGGGCUUAUAAAUGUCCCUCCUCAGUGAAGACAGCUUUUUGAACGUUCG